UACGUAGGGUGCAAGCGUUGUCCGGAAUUAUUGGGCGUAAAGAGCUCGUAGGCGGUCUGUCGCGUCGGCUGUGAAAACCUGGGGCUCAACUCCGGGCCUGCAGCCGAUACGGGCAGACUAGAAUUCGGUAGGGGAGACUGGAAUUCCUGGUGUAGCGGUGAAAUGCGCAGAUAUCAGGAGGAACACCGGCGGCGAAGGCGGGUCUCUGGGCCGAUAUUGACGCUGAGGAGCGAAAGCGUGGGGAGCGAACAGG
rnacentral:rRNA from 1 species